rnacentral:rRNA from 1 species
AGUAACAUCCGGAAACGGGUGCUAAGUACUGCAUAGUUUUCUUGAUCGCAUGAUCGGGAAAGGAAAGACGGCCUUUGUGCUGUCGCGUUAUGGAUGGACCCGCGGCGUAUUAGUUAGUUGGUGAGGUAACGGCUCACCAAGACGAUGAUACGUAGCCGACCUGAGAGGGUGAUCGGCCACAUUGGGACUGAGACACGGCCCAAACUCCUACGGGAGGCAGCAGUAGGGAAUCUUCCGCAAUGGACGAAAGUCUGACGGAGCAACGCCGCGUGAGUGAAGAAAGGUUUUCGGAUCGUAAAACUCUGUUGUCAGAGAAGAACAAGUUGGAGAGUAACUGCUCCAGCCUUGACGGUAUCUGACCAGAAAGCCACGGCUAACUACGUGCCAGCCGCUGC